rnacentral:rRNA from 1 species
ACGGGAGGCAGCAGUGGGGAAUAUUGCACAAUGGGGGAAACCCUGAUGCAGCGACGCCGCGUGAGCGAUGAAGUAUUUCGGUAUGUAAAGCUCUAUCAGCAGGGAAGGUAAUGACGGUACCUGACUAAGAAGCACCGGCUAAAUACGUGCCAGCAGCCGCGGUAAUACGUAUGGUGCAAGCGUUAUCCGGAUUUACUGGGUGUAAAGGGAGCGUAGGUGGUCUGGCAAGCCAGAAGUGAAAACCCGGGGCUCAACCCCGCGGAUUGCUUUUGGAACUGUUGGACUAGAGUGCAGGAGGGGUGAGUGGAAUUCCCAGUGUAGCGGUGAAAUGCGUAGAUAUUGGGAGGAACACCAGUGGCGAAGGCGGCUCACUGGACUGUAACUGACACUGAGGCUCGAAAGCGUGGGGAGCAAACAGGAUUAGAUACCCUGGUA